GACGAACGCUGGCGGCGUGCUUAACACAUGCAAGUCGAACGGUAAGGCCCUUCGGGGUACACGAGUGGCGAACGGGUGAGUAACACGUGGGUGAUCUGCCCUGCACUUCGGGAUAAGCCUGGGAAACUGGGUCUAAUACCGGAUCGGACCACUGCCUGCAUGGGUGGUGGUGGAAAGCUUUUGCGGUGUGGGAUGGGCCCGCGGCCUAUCAGCUUGGUGGUGGGGUGAUGGCCUACCAAGGCGACGACGGGUAGCCGGCCUGCGAGGGUGACCGGCCACACUGGGACUGAGAUACGGCCCAGACUCCUACGGGAGGCAGCAGUGGGGAAUAUUGCACAAUGGGCGCAAGCCUGAUGCAGCGACGCCGCGUGAGGGAUGACGGCCUUCGGGUUGUAAACCUCUUUCAGCACCGACGAAGCGCAAGUGACGGUAGGUGCAGAAGAAGGACCGGCCAACUACGUGCCAGCAGCCGCCGUAA
rnacentral:rRNA from 1 species